rnacentral:rRNA from 1 species
UACCAGCACCCCGAGUGGUCGGGACGUUUAUUGGGCCUAAAGCAUCCGUAGCCGGUUCUACGAGUCUUCCGUUAAAUCCAACUGCUUAACAGGUGGGCUGCGGAAGAUACUAUAGAGCUAGGAGGCGGGAGAGGCAAGCGGUACUUAGUGGGUAGGGGUAAAAUCCGUUGAUCCAUUGAAGACCACCAGUGGCGAAGGCGGCUUGCCAGAACGCACUCGACGGUGAGGGAUGAAAGCUGGGGGAGCAAACCGG